rnacentral:rRNA from 1 species
CGGGGGGGGCAAGCGUUGUUCGGAAUUACUGGGCGUAAAGGGCUCGUAGGCGGCCAACUAAGUCGGACGUGAAAUCCCCAGGCUCAACCUGGGAACUGCGUCCGAUACUGGAUGGCUUGAAUCCGGGAGAGGGAUGCAGAAUUCCAGGUGUAGCGGUGAAAUGCGUAGAUAUCUGGAGGAAUACCGGUGGCGAAGGCGGCAUCCUGGACCGGCAUUGACGCUGAGGAGCGAAAGCCAGGGGGAGCAAACGGGAUUAGAUACCCCGGUAGUCCUGGCCCUAAACGAUGAAUGCUUGGUGUAACGGGUAUCGAUCCCUGUUGUGCCGAAGCUAACGCAUUAAGCAUUCCGCCUGGGGAGUACGGUCGCAAGGCUA